UAUAGCUUAGUGGCAGAGCACAUGCUUAGCAUGCAUGAGGUCCUGGGUUCAAUCCCCACUA
rnacentral:tRNA from 1 species